UCCCAUCCCCGGGGGAGCGCUCAUGCGCGCUUGAGAGGCAGCCAGCAGGUUGCGACCCGCCGAACCUGAUCCGGUUGACACCGGCGGAGGGAGGGAGCGGUUUUCACCA
rnacentral:ncRNA from 2 species